UAAUUUUAUCCUCUGUCUCCCUGUGGUCUAUUUUGCUCAUGAGAUCACAAUCGAGUGAAAUCCCCACAUGACAUCAGAACCCACCCAACAGCAGCCUCUGUGACCAAUGGGACACUCAACAGGUGGAGGUGGAGGGAGCUCACUUCUGUCACGAGGGAUAUGGUAUUAACGAGUGAGUAGGAUUUCCCCGGUCAGAGAACAGGAAAAGGUCCUUGCUUUUUAACGGAGAGCAUAGACGACGUCAUGGAGGGCUCCAUGAUGGAGGCGAUACUCCUGGAUUUCCAGUUGGGCAGCCAUUCUGCUUGGCUUAGUGAUUUGAGGGUCAUGGGCCUUGGUCAAAGACCCCGCCAGGGAAAGUUGCAUCUUGUGGAUACCAAACCGCAGCAGGGCCAUCGAAUCCCGCCUGUGGCAGUGAGGUUCUCAGCCAAAAGCAGAGGCAGAAAUUCUUUCUACAAUAUGGACUCAUGUUUCCACUGACCACUCACAUCCCUGAGAUAUGGCUUCAGCCCCACGGCUACUAAAAACACUUCUACCCUGAAGCUAAAGGUGAUCGCUUUGAGAUCCCUAAUAAAUUUUUGGCCAGUUCUUCAAAAGGUAAUAAAGAGAUUCUGAGCUCAGCUGAGCAAAUAAAAAGUAACUUUUCAUGAGUACACCAGGAAGGCCAGAGCACCUGUUCUAUGCUAUUUUGGUUUGUCCUCUCAAGGAAGUCUAUGGCCAAUUUUACAAUCCCCACUGAGCCCCAGAGAGGCUAACCCAUUAGCUCUUGUCACUCAUCAAAUGGAAGAUCCGUGUUCCAAACACUAAUAGUUUUGUCUUGAGUGUUCUAGAUCACACCCCUAAAGAGCUCGUUUAGGCUUCAGCACAGUUAGGGAUGUGUACAGAGGAAGAACUGACUCCUGUUCCUUCCAAUUUUCGAUCGUCCAUUCAAACAUAUUUACUGAACCCUUUCUGCACAAGUGUGGUGCUGGGGGUUUGGGGGAUGGUGUUGAGCAAAGGGUGCGGUCACUUCCCUGACGGCGGAUGCCCACAGGGAACAGAAGUAACACACAUAUGAGUUAGCAGUGGCACGGGCUGUGC
rnacentral:lncRNA from 1 species